rnacentral:misc_RNA from 1 species
UCAAGGGUCUACUGUGCACUUAAAAACUGGCUUAGCCAAAUGUAAAAAGCAUAGGGUUCCCAUAACCCAUCCAAAGAUUUUUUAAUUUCUAAGAAAUAGGUGCAACUAUCAACCAAUCAAGCUUUGUUAAAUAAAACUUCUGACAAAAUGGCUCUCGACUAUGUUCUUGACUUUAAACCAAAUAAUUUUGGUCCUAAUAAUGUGAUUUUGAAAUCAGGUUUAUCGUCUUUAAGCCUAUCUAUUAUAAAUAUACAAAUAUUAUGCAAUUUUAAAUAAAUAUUUGGUCAAUCAAAUUUUUUGGCUUUGCAGAACCUUUGCAAAAUGUGAAUUUAGAAAUAAAUUCAGGCAAUUCAGAUAAAAACAGAUAGCAAUUCUUAAAGCAUUAUUACCUGUGUCAAUUUUACUCCGCAGACAAGUGGACUUCCAUGACAAACUGACACUUACAAAUAUCAUAAAUAGGCAAUAAAGGAAUGUAAUUACCUCGACAGGUAAAAACGUUUAAAAAUUAGCUAAUAACAAUUUUAUUGAUAAAGUACAUUUUUAAACUAUCGUAUCUUUUAAGCUAGUGAAGGUAUAGCAUAUGUUACAUCAAGUUGUAUUAAAAUUAAGCGUAGAAUCGGAAAAUGAAUAAAAAAAUUAACCAUUCCAUUUAAAGAAAGUAACUUUGGUCUCUACUACUGUUAUGAUGCCUCCUGUAUAUGCAGAUCUAAAAGAUAUCUAUAAUUUUUAUUUGGAUCACUUUUUCAUAAAAUGGCGCGUUCUUGAAUUAUUAAGUGUAAAAUAUCCUAAGGUUGAAAAUCUAUACCCUAAACAUAAAUACAUAUAAUAAUAUAAUAUAAGCAGAGAUUGAGAGAGACCCAAAAAAGUAAAAGAGGCAGUGAGUGCUGGGCACUUCGGCUUAUAAAGAGCCAUGGAUAUAGUGGUGAUAGUUUACCAGGUGUGGUGGUGUUUGUCCAUUAGGUGGAUAUUAGAAUGGUUGUGAUUGUUUUGUGCACAGGUAAAUCAUGUCGACAUGUGAGUAAUAUUUUAUAUUGUUGUUGUAUAAGUCCAUGGCUAGAGUUUUAUGGUAUACCAGAGUUUGUCGCUGUUUAGCGAGGUAUUACCAGGUUUGUGUAGCAAUCGACAGGGAUGCCCUCUGAGCGCGCAGUUCCUUCGAGUUGGUCUUGUGAAUUAUAGAGGGCCCUCACUUGUCUUCUUGAUUGACACAUUUGGAUUCUAAGAUCUCGGUAUAUGUUAUCUUAGUUUCCGAGUGUUGAGAUGCUUACCGCUUAGCGGCAGUGAAGCGUCUGGCGUAACCUUAACUAUUUUAGGGGGCACGAGCUAGUCGUCGAAGAAAGAAGAUAUAUAUAUGUAAAUUAUUAACAAACAUAAAGUAACUACAUAUGUUAAUGGUUGUUGGCAUGACUGAAUCAAGGGGACCGAGGUUUCCCGUAUCGGCAUGUUUUGGCGCCAAAUCUUAUUAGUCUUUGGUACAUCAACAAAGCAGAGCCUUAACAAGUGUGGUUAUUUUGUCUAGGAUAUUCGUAAUACCUGAGGACCUAAUUAAGGUAUAUUGCUAGAAUGCCUAAAAAGGGGCAAUAUGAUACCAGUUCUAUGGACACCGCAAUUAACGAGGUUAAGAAUAAUAAACUGGGAUUAAGGGCGGCGGCUAAAAACCCUGGUCAUAAGGAAACUUGCGGCCCAUCCCCUAUAUUGACCUUAAAAGAGGAACAACAGCUUGUAAAGUGGAUAGAAGAGUUAGCAAAUAGAGGAUUUCCAAGAAAAAAAGAAGAUAUUCUCAACAGUGUUCAACAGUUUCUAAUCGAAAAUCCACAACCAAAUCCGUUUAACAAUAACAGACCCGGCGACUGUUGGUUUAAGGCUUUCCUACGGAGAAAUCCGACAAUCGUGCAAAGAACCAGUGAAGCAGUUAGCAACGCAAGUGCUUGUGUCUGUGAAAAAGAUAUAAGGAAAUGGUUUAGAGAAAUUCAAGAUUACCUGCCGAUAAAAAAUAUUAAUAUGAAUAAUCCUUCUCGAAUCUUUAAUGUGGACGAAACAGGUUUUCAGAUUUGUCCUAGUACUGGAAAAGUUUUCGCUGGAAAAGGAAUGACAGCUCCACCAAUGAUAAUAUAUCCCUACAAAAGAAUACCGGAAAAAAUAGCCGUUACAGUGAAUCCAAAUUGGGGGAUCGGGCGAUCCGAUAAUGGAUGGAUGACAUCAGAUACUUUUUAUGAUUAUAUUAAAAACAUGUUCUAUCCAUACUUGGUUGAAAACAAUAUUCAGCUUCCACUUGUAUUAUUCUUGGAUGAGCAAGUCCGACUUAACAUAUGAUCUAAGUAUUCUCUGCAAUGACCUACAAAUAGAAGUAUUUGCCCUUUAUCCUAAUGCAACUCGACUAUUGCAGCCUUUUGAUGUUGCGGUAUUUAGACCAAUAAAGAUGGGCUGGAAAAAAGCUGUUAGAAAUUAUUAUGAGCGAAAUCCAGCUUAGAAAUGGUGGUGACAGAAGCAGUCAAAACAGAGACGCUUAUCAAUGGUUUUAAAGCAUGCGGACUCUAUCCAUUUAAUCCGGAUGCUAUUGACUAUUCUAAACGCUUGGGAAAUCCCAUGAAACUGUUGAGGAAACGAUAUCUGCUCCUGUAAUGAUGGAUGAAGAGAAUUUUAGUAAUUUUGUUGGGGCUAAACUUAUUACUAAAUUCGAAUCAUAUGACGCCAUUCUCAUUAAAGAAGGAUUUACUCCUGAGUUUUUAGCCCUCCAUAGGAUGUAGAGUUUCUUCAGGAAACCUAAUGCCAGAGAAUUGAAGGAAUCUUCUAAUCAACACAAUCCAACGAAUGAACCAAAUAACUUUAAAAAUGACACUGAAAAAAAUUGAUGAAUCUAGGCAGGAAAAUCAAACUUUCAAUGGAGCAAUUGAUAUGAUUUCAAGUCAAGCUUCAAACAGUAAGAAAGUUCAUGUAUUUGCUAAUGUACUUAUUACGAAAGAUAAUGAUUUAACACAAACCAUUUCUCCUGACAUUGGGAUAAUUGCGCCUUCAAACGAACAAAUAGAUACCGAGUCGAAGAACAAAACACCUGGCUUUUCACCAAUAGGUAAAUGUAUUAGUGACUUCCUUAAAAUUCCUGAUAAGCCUGAGCGCAAAAAUAAGCGCCAAGUUGAACGUGUAUCUUUUGCUAUAACUCCUCGAGCCUAUCAGGAAAAUUUUGAGGCUAAAAAGACUCUUAAGUUGGAGGAAGAAAAUAAAAAGAUUGAAAAAAAACGUAAAAGGAAAGAAAAAGCUGCAACUAAACCUAACCUAAAAAAUAAAAAAGUUUGUAAAUCAACCGAAAAUAAACAAGAUGCCGUCUGCUCGGUCUGUAAGAAACGCAUAGCCAAAAGUAAACAUUGGACAUGUAAUAUUUGCCAUAAAAAGUUUCAUAACAUAUGUAUCUCAAAAGAACAUAAGGAGCAUGUCCCCGAUGUAGAUGAUAACGAUUUAUUCUUAUGUCAUGUCAUAACUGCUACCAAGAAGAAAAUGAUAAAGAUAUUAAUAGUGAGGAGAAUUUUGAGGAUUUAAAAACAGAACAAAAUGUCUUCAUUGGCGAACGAAGAUUUAAGGAUCUGGCGAGCAUGGCAAAUAUAAGUUAUCUAAAAGAAGAAGAAGAUGAAAUGGUAAAAGCUAUCGACUCGGAGGAAGUAACAUGUCCGACUGACAUGUUACGACAUGACUGACAUGUCGGAGAAUAUUUUAAUUGACCAAAAUCAAACAGAAAAUGAGGGAAUAUACGAAAAUAAUCAAUUUUAUAGUGAGCAACUAGUCGGCGAUGAUCUAAGUGAAUUAAACGCAGACAAAAUGAUGAGGACGAGGAUCAAGAAGUGGAUGAACUUUGUGCUUUAUAUAAAAAUGAACAUAAACAUUUUUAAUAAUGAUUAAUAAUGGAAUUUGCUUAUAUUACAUGUUUGUAGACUAAAAAACCGAGUUUACCGCGUUUUUACCUAAAUAAAAAAUUAAAAGAU